GUUUGAACCUGGCUCAGGACGAACGCUGGCGGCGUGCCUAAUACAUGCAAGUCGAGCGAGCUUGCCUAGAUGAUUUUAGUGCUUGCACUAAAUGAAACUAGAUACAAGCGAGCGGCGGACGGGUGAGUAACACGUGGGUAACCUGCCCAAGAGACUGGGAUAACACCUGGAAACAGAUGCUAAUACCGGAUAACAACACUAGACGCAUGUCUAGAGUUUGAAAGAUGGUUCUGCUAUCACUCUUGGAUGGACCUGCGGUGCAUUAGCUAGUUGGUAAGGUAACGGCUUACCAAGGCAAUGAUGCAUAGCCGAGUUGAGAGACUGAUCGGCCACAUUGGGACUGAGACACGGCCCAAACUCCUACGGGAGGCAGCAGUAGGGAAUCUUCCACAAUGGACGAAAGUCUGAUGGAGCAACGCCGCGUGAGUGAAGAAGGGUUUCGGCUCGUAAAGCUCUGUUGGUAGUGAAGAAAGAUAGAGGUAGUAACUGGCCUUUAUUUGACGGUAAU
rnacentral:rRNA from 1 species